rnacentral:sRNA from 1 species
UUCUUCUUCAUCUUCUUCCUCUCCUU